GAUUUUUGUAGAUUUUUUUUGCAGUCUGACUGGAUGAUUAGCGUUUGAACAUAUCAUAGUCGUGUGAGUGAGUCGAUCGUGUGUACCUUCAAUUGUUAAGGCAAAAGAGUUGGAAUGCGGGUCGAUGAUGAUGUGAAAGAUAAUUGGUAUUCUCAGUAUUUCAUUAAACAGAUUGACAUACCAAGCAUUCUGAUAUCGUUGAAAUAUUUGAGGUAUUUUUAGGUGUUAGGUUUUGUGGUUGUAUUAAAACCUGUGAUAUUGCAUACUUUCUGGGAUUCGUAAAGUGCCUCAUCUUUCCACGUGCUGUGUGCUUUUUGAAGCUUUUGAUUUUAUGGUUUUUAUAUAAAUUAUGUAUAAAAUCCUGCACUUUCUCCGAAGCACUUUAAAGAAAUUCUCCCCUGUAUUAUUCAUACUCAUAUUACGAAGUACAAAAAAAUAGUUUGGUUUAAUAAUGCACGUCUCGUUUGCAAAAUAAAUUGGUAUCAUCAUCACGAAAAAUGAUAGACAUACAUGAUGAGCAUCGCCUGCUAAGUAUGCAUUAUUCGAUGAUCUCGUUGACUAUUGAUUUAAUGCCUAUCCAUAAUCCGUUGGUCCAUCCGUUAAUAGAAUGGAGCAUCUUUGAAGGGAAAGCUACUCAAGUUUUUUGUAAAUCCUUGAUCGCAAUCUUCUGCCAAGGGUAUUUCACAUCAUAAUAAAAAAUUAACUGCGCAUAUUGUCAUUAUAUAUUGGACGAGGAAAUCGAAAUUGGUGUUUACGAUCAGAUGAAGAGUCUUGAUAAAGGUUUGAUUGUAUAUUCGCUUUCGCAAACUCUAAGCCGUCAAUCGAAAAAGUUAUCGAUUCUCAAAAGAAAGACGCAGCAGCAGCCUCAUGGAUCCGUUUCAGAAAUCAUCUAAAGUCAUCUGAAGUUUCCAUUUGAUUCGGACGUGCACAUGUAUGAUGUGGUGAUGUAAAUUGUACGUAGACUGCUGCUGACAGGCCUUCAAAAUAGAAUUGACGAGAUACAUAUGCAGAGCGUGGCUUUUAGAUUCGAUGGAUACAUUUAAUAUUUUUGUUGAUGUUCAAACCUUGAUAACAACUUGUAACAAAGUGCUUUGAAUUUACUUACUAUAAUAAAUUCCACUCUGUCAUAAAAUGAA